CGGGGUUAGGAGCAGCUGCUGAUCUCACAAUGGCGGGGUCCCAUGUCCCUGGCCAGCGUGUUGCCAGCUGCUGGCAGCUGCCACCCACUGCUGCUGGGCAUGUCCCUCCUCAGCAGCUACGAGGGCCUGAGGCAGGAGAUCCAGCGGCUGGCACAGGAGAAUGAAGAGCUUCGGCGGCUCGUGCAGCUCAUCCAGGAGAACCAGGAGCUGAAGCUGGUGCUCAAGAGUCGGGGCAGCAGCCUGGGCUUCUGCAGCUCUGGGCUCCUGGCUGAGGUGGCUGCCAGCCCUCGCCUGCCUCGGCGCCGAACCAUCAAGUUCAAGAAUGCUGAAAGAGGUGAGUGUGAGCACUCCAGGGGCCCAAGGAUGGUCUUCGCAGAGGCUGGCAAGUGCCACUCACUCAGCUGUGCCAUGACAGUGAAAAGCAGGGGGAGACCCCUGCUCCUGUGGGGCAGGUGCUGACAGGUGCUGGCAGGGGCCGCGGAGGAAGGGGCAAGGGGCGGAGUGGGGGUCUCUCGUCCGGGGUGCAGAAGGGAGACGGUGAAAUCGCUGAGAAAGUGACAUCAGAACAGGUGGACUGAAGGGAGGGAGCCAGGAGGCUGCCCUUCAGCCGUCAUCAUGCAAGGCGGCCAGACGCCACCCAGUCAGUGCCAAGCCUUGUUGCUGCCUGGGUGCAGCCCACCCCCCUCUCCUUCAAGAGCCAGCAAGGCUCCAGGAAGCAGGGAUGUCCAAGGUGGGGUGGGACGGGGGGAAAGCCAGCGCCCUGUCUGCCUGGUACAUCAGGCGGGCAGCCCCUCACUUGCUGGGCUUGGGGAGCCCCCUGCCCCCACCACUCCUUUUCUGGAGGCCCUCAGAGCUCAAGCCCACCUCAGGCCUGGCAGGCACAGCAGCAGCUUUCAGGUCUCGGGAAACAGGCCGCAGAGGGGCAGCCAUCCGCCCCGUCACGGGACUGACCAGGCCUCUGGCCACAUCAGCCCGAGUGUCGCAGGAUCGCUUGGGGCGUGCGCGUGUGUGCGUGUGUGUGUGCGGGGGGGGGGGCUUCUCCCGGGCUCGCUCAGCCCCUCAGUUCCGCCCUCCCUGUCACCCCCGCCCUGUCCCCCACAACUGCCUGGCGCUGGACAGCCCGCUCCCGCUGCCCCCUGGACCUGGAGGAAGGUCCCCCGGGCACCCGCGCUUGGCGAGCUCCGGGCGCCGGAGGAACAGGUGCCGGGAACGGGUCGCGGGGAAAGCGCCGCUCCCGCACAGCGCCGCCCGACUUGGGUUCGGGCUGGAAGCUCCCUCCGCCCCCGGCCCAGCUCGGGCCCCGCCCUGCCGUCCUCCGGGCGGCUAGCGGCCGAAGGAGGGGGCGGCUCCGGGCAGCCCGAGCCUGACGCAACCGGGAGAGCCCGGCGCGCCGGGACCGGUCGGGCGGGGGGCGGGCCCCGCUUCCGGGCUGGGGGCGGGCGCGGCCCGGAGCGAGCGCAGCCCGAACAGACGGCGGGGGACCGGAGCCGACAGGCCAGUUCUCCCAGGACUGCCGCCUGA
rnacentral:lncRNA from 1 species